GAUGAACGCUGGCGGCGUGCCUAAUACAUGCAAGUCGAGCGAAUGGAUUAAGAGCUUGCUCUUAUGAAGUUAGCGGCGGACGGGUGAGUAACACGUGGGUAACCUGCCCAUAAGACUGGGAUAACUCCGGGAAACCGGGGCGAAUACCGGAUAACAUUUUGAACUGCAUGGUUCGAAAUUGAAAGGCGGCUUCGGCUGUCACUUAUGGAUGGACCCGCGUCGCAUUAGCUAGUUGGUGAGGUAACGGCUCACCAAGGCAACGAUGCGUAGCCGACCUGAGAGGGUGAUCGGCCACACUGGGACUGAGACACGGCCCAGACUCCUACGGGAGGCAGCAGUAGGGAAUCUUCCGCAAUGGACGAAAGUCUGACGGAGCAACGCCGCGUGAGUGAUGAAGGCUUUCGGGUCGUAAAACUCUGUUGUUAGGGAAGAACAAGUGCUAGUUGAAUAAGCUGGCACCUUGACGGUACCUAACCAGAAAGCCACGGCUAACUACGUGCCAGCCGCCGCCGUAA
rnacentral:rRNA from 1 species